rnacentral:rRNA from 1 species
GUGGGGAAUAUUGGACAAUGGGCGCAAGCCUGAUCCAGCGACGCCGCGUGUGUGAUGAAGGCCUUCGGGUCGUAAAGCACUGUGGGGAGGGAAGAACAACCUGCGUUCGAAUAGGGCGUGGGCCUGACGGUACCUCCUUAGCAAGCACCGGCUAACUCUGUGCCAGCAGCCGCGGUAAGACAGAGGGUGCGAACGUUGCUCGGAAUUACUGGGCGUAAAGCGCGUGUAGGCGGGUGCGCAAGUCAGAUGUGAAAGCCCCGGGCUCAACCCGGGAACUGCAUUUGAAACUGCGCGUCUAGAGUAAUGGAGAGGGAAGCGGAAUUCCUGGUGUAGAGGUGAAAUUCGUAGAUAUCAGGAGGAACACCGGUGGCGAAGGCGGCUUCCUGGACAUUCACUGACGCUGAGACGCGAAAGCGUGGGGAGCAAACAGGAUUAGAUACCCCGGUAGUCC